AAUAAAAUCUCAACAGAUGGACUGAACUUCAGAUUCUUCUCCCUGUUGUGGUCCUUCUCUUACUGGAUAUUGGGUGGUGUCAUGGUUAGAGACUUUGGAUGCAGGAGCUCUGAACAGUAACAAUAUUCAUCCAGUUUUCAUAAGGUAUUUCCCACCAUAGUCAUUUACAGUACUUAGCCUUUGAUUAAUUACAUGACUAAAAUAGUUUGGUUUUCAGUAUGUAACAUGUUUCAUGCUUUCUUGGUCUCCAUUCAUUCACUUUAGUUCUUUGUUGGCUACCCUCUAGAUCCACUUAUUCAAGUUUGGGAACCACUGAUCUAGGCUAUCUGGUCAUUUUAGCCGGGUAGGAUUGUGCUUUUGAUCAGCAAUUGCUUUCCAUUUUUUCUUUAUAUUUAAUCAUCUCUACAAUUCUUUUCAGAUUAUGUGCAGGUAUUUUUUUUUGCUGAUCUGUACAAUGUACAAGACUGGGACUCAUGGAAUUCACUGAAAGUUUCAGCCCAAUACAGACUUCAAACUAGAGAUUCCUAAACAGUGUUUAGCCAUAUUUCAUGAUAUUUCUCCACUGCUUCCUUGUUUCUUCUGAGCUACCAGUGCCAAUACCACUCAUUGAUAACCAACAGCCAUUCAUCCCAGUGCCCUUCACUGCAGCCUAAAUAUUUAUCCACCAGUUAUCUGGAGAACCCACUAUUCUCACCUAAGAAAGCAUGAGAGAAAAGCACAAGAAUGAAAUUUCAGCAUUUUAUUGACAGGUGACAUUGUUCAAAUGGUUGCAGGCUCCUUGAAUCUCAGGAAGUUGUGUUAGAUGUUCUCAAAGUUGUUCCAUUUCUUUUAUUAAGCAAAGCUUCUGUUAGGCUGAUGGCAUUUGAAAUCAAGGGCACAGAACACCAUGGAGAUGGAAGAGGUUAAUGAUGUCUCCUUCGCCGUCUUCUCCGCCUCCUUCCAGAUCCACUUGCUUGGCUCUUCCGUCGCCGCCUACGGCGUUGACGAGUCAGGCUCCAGCUUCUGCUGCGUUUGAAACUUGCCAUUUGAUGUUGCUUUUCUUUUUCAAGCUUGUAGCAGUGGGAGCAUCAUCUGCCUUGGGGAGCCUGAGACUUCAAGUGGUGGUCCUGCCCUAUUUAUAG
rnacentral:lncRNA from 1 species